GGCGACCGGCGCACGGGUGAGUAACACGUAUCCAACCUGCCGCUUACUCGGGGAUAGCCUUUCGAAAGAAAGAUUAAUACCCGAUGGUAUAAAGAGUUCGCAUAUUCUCUUUAUUAAAGAAUUUCGGUAAGCGAUGGGGAUGCGUUCCAUUAGAUAGUUGGCGGGGUAACGGCCCACCAAGUCUACGAUGGAUAGGGGUUCUGAGAGGAAGGUCCCCCACAUUGGAACUGAGACACGGUCCAAACUCCUACGGGAGGCAGCAGUGAGGAAUAUUGGUCAAUGGACGCGAGUCUGAACCAGCCAAGUAAGCGUGAAGGAUGACUGCCCUAUGGGUUGUAAACUUCUUUUAUAAGGGAAUAAAGUGAGGGACGUGUCCCUUUUUGUAUGUACCUUAUGAAUAAGGAUCGGCUAACUCCGUGCCAGCCGCUGC
rnacentral:rRNA from 1 species